rnacentral:rRNA from 1 species
UAGCCGUAAACGAUACUCGCUAGGUGUCGGCCACGGUGCGACCGUUGUCGGUGCCGUAGGGAAGCCGUGAAGCGAGCCACCUGGGAAGUACGGCCGCAAGGCUGAAACUUAAAGGAAUUGGCGGGGGAGCACCACAACGGGUGGAGCUUGCGGUUUAAUUGGAUUCAACGCCGGAAAUCUCACCGGAUAAGACAGCUGAAUGAUAGUCGGGAUGAAGACUCUACUUGACUAGCUGAGAGGAGGUGCAUGGCGUAGUCGUGU